UGCACGCGCGGGCAAACCUGCAGAUCAGCAAGUUGUUGCUGCAUCUUCUUUACGAAGCCUUUCCAGCUGCUUCAACGCAAACGGAAGAGAUGCAGGACACAGGCAUCUCACUCCUACAGGGGCUUUAAGUUAUAACAGAGGACUGUAUGCCUGGUUGAAGAAAUAGAAGUACAGGAGGAGUGAAUUAAAACAGCAACAACAUAAAUGGGCUGAAAUACUCUGAAAUGACAACAGCACUCAGAGAAGAUGUAACCCAAAGUGGCAGACCCACUUGUCAAUGUGUGCCCCCAGUGUAUAAAGGCUGUGGAGAGAGGCAGUUCAAUAGGAAACAUUGCUUUUGUGAAGUUAACUAAGGACUAGCAGCUUGGAAACAGUUCCUGAAAGUCUCUGUUGGAAACCUCUUAUCUCUCCGCUCACUUCCUGAACCUUUUGUUCAAUGCCUCUGGCUACAAAAUACACUUCAACUUUACACAAACCUUGGUCUUAUCAGUGUUUCACACAAGGGUCGCCCACACAUACUUGGUAGUGCCCUUAGAAACAGCCCCUGAAUACACACACACACACAUACUCCAUUCUCCUCAUCUGCCUGGCUAAGGUCUCUAGGACUGCAACUUUCUGUAUUUUAGAAUUUGAAAAAUCAUGGUAAGUGUGUGAAGAAUAACAACCUUUUAGAAUUUUAAAUUCACUCUAAACAGUAUUACUAAAGAAUAAGAUAACACUUUUGAUUUCUAUAUGUUGGAUUUUUAGAAAGCAAAAACAUAUAAGGCAACAACUAUUCUAUAAUCCAAAAUGAUUUUCCAAAUUUUAUGCCAAUGCUUUACUAACUUUUCAGUAGCAGGUUAUAUUCCCACUUGCAUUCUGAACUUUAAUAUAUUUUAGUGGCAUUAAUAUAACAGACUCAGCUGUGUUUUCACUGUGUUGUUGGAAAAGAGCAAUCUCAGUUUCCCUGGCUAAGGUAAUCAGAGUAAGGCGUUUGUUUUUUUCCACUCAGCAGGAAAACAGGGUGGAGAUUGGAAUUUUAGAUUUCUGGAUUUGGUAGGGAAAGAAGUUUAUGCGAACAUAUUACAUUGACAGUAAGAGGUUUGACAGAUGAAAAGAAACCAUUUUGUCCAUCAAACUCGUUGAUAAGCUAAUAGCUGAAUUGUCACAAUACCUUAUCUAGAUACAUUUAUGCUGGAAGUGGUCAACUCACAGCCACAGAAAUUUACUUUAAGCAGGAUCAAGACAUGAACUUUUCACAAGAAUGCUCAAUUAAUUCCAUAGCACAUCUUUGGAAAUGUAAAAAUGAACAAUUGAAAUAGUACAAAUAAGAAAAAAUCCACCUGCAAAAAAAAAUUGCUUAUCUAUUAUUCUGAAAACUUAUUUUAUGGAGAAAGUUAAUCAAGCACAUCAUAGAAGUGGAAAACGAGGAAGAAGAAGAUUGCCCACAUUCAGUGUACUAGCAUCGGAAUUCAGUUAAGAUGCUUUUGACAAAGUUAUGUUUUGAUUUUUUCACAAGAUUUUAAGUGUUAUCACCACCUCCUCAUUACCAUGUUGAAAAGAUGUGAUAAAAGCCACUAAAUGGAAUAACACAUUCAUUUAGUUUAUGAAGGAAAGGUAAUCAUUGCUUUGCUCUUUGUUAAGGCUGAGAAUUGUAAAGCUCAGAUAUUAAUCUUGGAAUAGGACAAUCAACACCUGGAGUGGUGCAAACCUCUUACAUAAGUUAGAAGUAUGAAUUCAUCAGUAACCAACAAUAACUUUAUGGAGCCACAAUGUCAUAAGUGGUGCAGUAUCAUCACAACCCCAGUCUCAUAAGACUUAACCUCCUUAGUGUUAGACCUGAGCAUCACUCAGGCUGUUGAAACAGCACUAAAAGCUUUAGUCCUGAGUGUCACCAGGGCAAAGGCAUAGACAUUGUGUAAGACCCGAUUGCCGAACAUUACUCUGGCAAUGAUAUAGGCAUGUCUUGCAAAAGCAUCAUGGCCUGAGCAUUACAUGGGCAAUGGUGUAGAUGUGUCUUCUUUUUGCCACAUAAUAACAUCUUGUAAGAAACUCUUCUCUUCAGCAGUGAUGCCGAAGUGAAUUUGUCUUCAGGUAGUGAAACUGAAACGGUCAGUGAAUCUGAAAGUGUUUCUGGGAAUUCAAAGUGACAUUCACAUUA